rnacentral:rRNA from 1 species
UACGGAGGGGGCUAGCGUUGUUCGGAAUUACUGGGCGUAAAGCGUACGUAGGCGGCUUUGUAAGUUAGAGGUGAAAGCCCGGGGCUCAACUCCGGAAUUGCCUUUAAGACUGCAUCGCUUGAAUCAUGGAGAGGUGAGUGGAAUUCCGAGUGUAGAGGUGAAAUUCGUAGAUAUUCGGAAGAACACCAGUGGCGAAGGCGACUCACUGGACAUGUAUUGACGCUGAGGUGCGAAAAGCGUGGGGAGCCAAACAGG